GAGGAAGAAACAGAAAAGGGAAAGUAAGGAACUAACAACUAUGAGAAGAAAAACAGGGGACCAGAGGGGGAGCUUGGGGCCCCGGCCAAUGGCCUGGAGGAUGGAGACCCCAGUGAUCAGUGACCUGGUGACCCGGAGAUGCAGCUCAGGAGUCGCAGCCGGUUCUGGGCAGUGGAAGGAAAAUGGGCUGUGGAGAGAGGACCCCGGGUGACCUGACCAGCCGGUUCCAGCCAGAGGGGGCCAGAGGAGGGCUGAGAGGAGAGGAGACCCAGGCCUUCCUGUUUACGACUCUGUUUACCUGGAGAGAAGACAAUGGACAGAGGCGGGGCUUGGGGCCGGGGAUAUUGGAGGCCCAUCUGGGUAGCAGGGGAGCUCUGGGCUGGAGAGUGGGAGCAGGCAGAGCCCCCCUGGAUGCAGGAAGACUGGGAUGUGCUGGACUGAGAGAGGUCAGGCCUGAGCCCCAGAGAGUUUCCUGUGCUGUGUUCAACUCUCAAUAAACGCUCCUGUUUUAUGCUG